rnacentral:rRNA from 1 species
UGGGGAAUAUUGGACAAUGGGCGAAAGCCUGAUCCAGCAAUACCGAGUGAGUGAUGAAGGCCCUAGGGUUGUAAAGCUCCUUUAGCAAGGAAGAUAAUGACGUUACUUGCAGAAAAAGCCCCGGCUAACUCCGUGCCAGCAGCCGCGGUAAGACGGAGGGGGCUAGCGUUGUUCGGAAUUACUGGGCGUAAAGAGUGCGUAGGCGGUUUAGUAAGUUGGAAGUGAAAGCCCGGGGCUUAACCUCGGAAUUGCUUUCAAAACUACUAAUCUAGAGUGUAGUAGGGGAUGAUGGAAUUCCUAGUGUAGAGGUGAAAUUCUUAGAUAUUAGGAGGAACACCGGUGGCGAAGGCGGUCAUCUGGGCUACAACUGACGCUGAUGCACGAAAGCGUGGGGAGCAAACA